CCUUGUAGCAUCUGAUAGGAGUCACAGGCAUCUUAUUUGUUUCUUGAUGGCAUUGGUGCCUUGUGCUGUUAAAAUUACUUCCACUCUCAUUUUCUAUUUUUUUGUCUGGGGCGGAGAGAUAUUUCCCAGACAGUAAAGCAAUUAGCCUGUAAGGUCAUAGCCUUGGGGAACAGUGGUUUUUGAUGCUGUACACUCUAGUUCAAGAAAACCCACAAAAGUCAGACCAGUUGUUAUCAUUUCUGCACCGUUACAGACUUAAAAGGCAAUGUCCUGUAUGGACACUCAGUUGCAAUCUCAUGUGGGCAUGGCAACUCAAGUGGGGAAUCCUGAGGAACCUCAGCACAACUGCCACCACAGAACGUCAAUAUGUUGCAGAAGACACUUUGGGUUUCUGUUUCAGGGCUUUGGCUAGCUAUUUUUGGGCUCACCCAUUGCCUCCCAUGCUUUGUGUAUAACCUCUUCUCCCGUGGCUACAUGUUGCAAGGGUAGGCUCCUGGAUGUAAGAGAAACUGCCACCUUCAUUCUAGACUACCAAAUUCUUCCCAAAACACAGAUACUCAGAUUAACAGCAAGAAGUUGCCCUUUGAAAGCUCAAUAAAUUCUCUCUCCUUCCUCCUUUCUUUAUGGAAGAUCAUUUCACAGAUACUUUGUAUUUUGGGAAAUGCUGUUCCAGUUUGUGUUUGGCAAAGCAGAUUUUUGGUCCUUUGAUAUGAUAUGAAAACCAGCUCUGGGUGAUUAUAUCUUCAGGCCGAAUCCCCUGUGGUCAGGUGACAACUGGUUUCUGAGUGGCAGCUCAGAUGCUGAAAACAUCUCUUAUAGGGACUUGUGGGAAGGAAAACACUCUGCUUUUCCAGUUUUUUAAAAAUAGCUGCACUGGAGACAGAUGAUGUAAUUAAUCAGUGGCCCUGGCAGGGAGGAAAAAUCUGUAUGUUAAGGAAGAAAACAAAACAAUUCUUGUCGUAACGCUCCCUAUGACCCUGCAAAGUGAAGCUCUUGAAAGUCCCAGUGUUUGCAAUGAUAGUGUUGAAGGAUGUGCUUAAAUCUCUGCUACUAAAAUCAAUGGGACAAGUGGAAUAGCUGGUGGGGUGAUUAGUUUUAAGUGAAAUGGAUUACCUUUGUGAGGCUUCCAUAUGUACAUACAUGCAUAGACACAUGUCCAUUCUUUCAGUACAAUGCUGCCCUUCCUACUCAUAAUGUCUUGCAGUUUCCUUCUACAAACUGAUCAUAUCUAUCCAGCCGCAUUAAAGGCCAAGUACACCCCAGCCACCGCGUCACUCCCAGGAGAGACACAUGGCUCGGGUGCGUUGCAGGCCCCACAGUGAGUGCCGGCCGCCAUUUUGUCACCCCCCUCAGUGGUGACACCCAGGGCGGACCACCCCCACCACCCCCCUUCCUCCGCCCCUGGCUGAUGGGGUCAUCUCAAAUCAAGCUAUUCUGGGGAACUCUAUGUUAUACCAGCUAAUAUCCAUUUAAUUUCUUUCCUCUUUCCAUUUAGAAGGUGACUACUUAGUAGGAUGUUCUCUUAUCUCUUGCCAGCUACUCUCUUCACCACCUUUAGCUCGCAGUAAGUCUGUCCUGAAGGGGAAAUGGUUAAGAGCUGGGCCUUUUGAACUUAUAAGGUCUCUUAUGCAAGAUUUGAGGGUGUUUUCUUUUUUUUUCCUAAAAGAAAGUUGGUAUCUUGCUGGCUGCGCUAAACAGAAAAGGAUAACACAACUUGGUUCCAAAUGGGCUUUAAUGUUUAGAUUGGCAUGUACUCUGUGACUCACUAUAAAGCCUUAAUUUACUACUACCGAGAAAUAAAGCAAUAUAUUGGUAUA